AGAGUUUGAUCCUGGCUCAGGAUUAACGCUAGCGGCAGGCCUAAUACAUGCAAGUCGAACGGGAUUGAUUGUAGCAAUACGGUCAUGAGAGUGGCGCACGGGUGCGUAACACGUAUGCAACCUACCUGUAACUGGGGGAUAGCCUCCCGAAAGGGAGAUUAAUACCGCAUAACAUUAUGAAGUGGCAUCACUUUAUAAUCAAACCCACGGGGGUUAAAGAUGGGCAUGCGUAACAUUAGAUUGUUGGUGAGGUAACGGCUCACCAAGUCUACGAUGUUUAGGGGGUCUGAGAGGAUGGUCCCCCACACUGGUACUGAGACACGGACCAGACUCCUACGGGAGGCAGCAGUGAGGAAUAUUGGUCAAUGGGCGAAAGCCUGAACCAGCCAUGCCGCGUGAAGGAUGACAGCGCUACGCGUUGUAAACUUCUUUUGUACAGGAAGAAACGCUUCUACGUGUAGAAGCUUGACGGUACUGUACGAAUAAGGGUCGGCUAACUUCGUGCCAGCAGCCGCGGUAAUACGAAGGACCCGAGCGUUAUCCGGAUUUAUUGGGUUUAAAGGGUGCGUAGGCGGAUUAGUAAGUCAGUGGUGAAAGCCCAUCGCUUAACGGGAGAACUGCCAUUGAUACUGGUUUUCUUGAAUAUAGUUGAAGUAGGCGGAAUGUGUAAUGUAGCGGUGAAAUGCUUAGAUAUGACACAGAACACCAAUUGCGAAGGCAGCUCGCUAAGCCAUAACUGACGCUGAUGCACGAAAGCGUGGGGAGCAAACAGGAUUAGAUACCCUGGUAGUCCACGCCCUAAACGAUGAUUACUCGAUGUUGGCGAUACACAGUCAGCGUCCAAGCGAAAGCGUUAAGUAAUCCACCUGGGAAGUACGACCGCAAGGUUGAAACUCAAAGGAAUUGACGGGGGCCCGCACAAGCGGAGGAGCAUGUGGUUUAAUUCGAUGAUACGCGAGGAACCUUACCUGGGCUUGAAAGUUAGUGACCGCUCCUGAAAGGGAGCCUUCAGCAAUGACACGAAACUAGGUGCUGCAUGGCUGUCGUCAGCUCGUGCCGUGAGGUGUUGGGUUAAGUCCCGUAACGAGCGCAACCCCUAUCAUUAGUUGCCAUCAGGUAAAGCUGGGGACUCUAAUGAGACUGCCCGCGCAAGCGGUGAGGAAGGUGGGGAUGACGUCAAGUCAUCACGGCCCUUACGUCCAGGGCUACACACGUGCUACAAUGGCAGAUACAAUGGGUUGCUACAUGGCAACAUGAUGCUAAUCUCAAAAGUCUGUCUCAGUUCGGAUUGAGGUCUGCAACUCGACCUCAUGAAGCCGGAUUCGCUAGUAAUCGGAAAUCAGCAAUGUUCCGGUGAAUACGUUCCCGGGCCUUGUACACACCGCCCGUCAAGCGAUGGAAGUCGGGAGUACCUGAAGUCGAUAACCGCAAGGAGUCGCCUAGGGUAAAACCGAUGACUGGGGCUAAGUCGUAACAAGGUAACC
rnacentral:rRNA from 1 species